rnacentral:rRNA from 1 species
UACGUAGGGGGCAAGCGUUGUCCGGAAUUAUUGGGCGUAAAGAGCGUGUAGGCGCCAGAUAAGUCCGCUGUGAAAUCUCGAGGCUCAACUUCGAGCUGUCGGUGGAAACUAUCUGGCUAGAGUCCGGAAGAGGAGAAUGGAAUUCCUGGUGUAGCGGUGAAAUGCGUAGAUAUCUGGAGGAAUACCGGUGGCGAAGGCGGCAUCCUGGACCGAGAUUGACACUGAUGAGCGGAAGCUAGGGGAGCAAACGGG